ACACUCCUGCGGGAGGCAGCAGUGGGGAAUAUUGGACAAUGGGCGCAAGCCUGAUCCAGCCAUGCCGCGUGAGUGAUGAAGGCCCUAGGGUUGUAAAGCUCUUUCACCGGUGAAGAUAAUGACGGUAACCGGAGAAGAAGCCCCGGCUAACUUCGUGCCAGCAGCCGCGGUAAUACGAAGGGGGCUAGCGUUGUUCGGAUUUACUGGGCGUAAAGCGCACGUAGGCGGACUAUUAAGUCAGGGGUGAAAUCCCGGGGCUCAACCCCGGAACUGCCUUUGAUACUGUUAGUCUUGAGUUCGGGAGAGGUGAGUGGAAUUCCGAGUGUAGAGGUGAAAUUCGUAGAUAUUCGGAGGAACACCAGUGGCGAAGGCGGCUCACUGGCUCGAUACUGACGCUGAGGUGCGAAAGCGUGGGGAGCAAACAGGAUUAGAUACCCCGGUAGUCCCAUG
rnacentral:rRNA from 1 species